CAUGUAGAAAUGUUGAUCAGCUCACCCUGUGGGUGUGUUAAUGUAGAGCAUGCACGCCCUCAUUACAAACAUACUGAUGAUGUCAUGUGGUGUAACAGGUGGUGGUCCAAUGGAAGCGCCAAUAGUUAAACUUUCAGUACCUGCACUCAAAUAUAUCAUAUGUGACAGGGCCUAGGAAAACACCCCUUAACGCGGGUAUACCCGAGUUUAUUUUUAUUGUUGAAUCAGAUAAAGCGUUCUCUAAGCUUCAAAAUGAUACCAAGAUCGACCUCCUAGCUAUUUUCUACCCGGAGAUAUGUUCGAGGGAACGCUACGAAGUAUUGCUUGAGCAGAUGACGCUCAAACGUCAUGAAUAAUUGUAAGUUCAAUUAUUGAUUUCCGGGCACUUCCGUAUACUCAUAAAGCUUAGUAAAAGAUUUUCUGGAGAAGACGAGUUAGUUAGAUGAAGGCUAGGCAUUCUAGGACUCUCUAGCUAGCUAGUAUAGCUAUGUAGCUGGAUUGCUUGGCAUCUAGGAAGGAUCUUCGAAGAAAUAAAAAGACAAAGACUCCCGUCGCUCCAAUGGUAAGCUUUCAUGUCUUGUUAUCAGCUUGUACUUACUUUCUGUGUCAUGUAUCAGUCUUAUAAUAGAUCGCUCACUUGUAUGGAGCCUACAAAAAGUGUCUCUGUUCUUCAUAAAGCUUAAAGGAACCCUGUCUGAUCUAUUAUAGGUGGCCUUUCACUUAGUAUUCGUCUAUGUGCUAGAUCCAACUUAUUAUUAGCCUUACAAGAAGCUUUCCUCCUUUAAUUUAGUAUUAGUAUCACUGCCAUUGUGCUUAGUAUUAGCAGGCCUGAUGGGAUGAGUGAUCACAUCUUGGAGAGCCCAGGAAACCCUGUGAAAUUGUCCUAUAACAUUUAUAUGGAUGGUUCCCCCAGGUCGUUGCGAGUGUCGGAGGCCUGAGAAACAAUAGUCUAUUGGCUAGAAUGUUGUUAUGGAGGGUUUAUGAAGACAAGUGGUACGGGAUACAUACAUCUAAAGAAACAAGAGUGGAUCUACGCCAAGCUAGCUAGCUAGAUAGCUGCUCUUUCUAAUGAAUUUAUGUUGCUAAAUUAUGUUUGUUAAGAAGUGGAGCUAUAAUAUACCUGGCUCCUCUUGAUGAUUGUAAGUACUGGGCUGAUGAAAUAGUCCUGUACAAGUUGUAAUCUUUUUUUGUUAAAAAUAA